rnacentral:lncRNA from 1 species
UCCCAGCACUCAGGAGGCUGAGGCAGGAGGAUUGUUGUGAGUUCGAGAGCACCCUGGGCUACAAAAUGAGCUCAAGACCAGCCUGAACUGCAUAGUGAGACCCUGUCUCAAAAAGACAAAAAAUAAGUAAAUAAAUAAAAUCAGACUUAAAUUUUGAAACUCAUUUUCCAGGUUAAAGAAAAUGGAAGCAACUACGAGACAGGAAGAGAAACAUUUUCACAAAAGCCAGAUGAAAUAUGGAAGCCAGGAUGGACACGUAAAAAUGGAAAAAAAAAUAAAUUCUGAAGUCUAGGAUAGAAGGACACAAAAAAGAAAACGAGAUGCAUCCAGAGCAGUUGGGUACUGAAGACGGUAUCUGAGAAAGAGGAAACAUCUAGUGGCUACUGGGGUCUAAGGAUAACGCACAGAGGAAAAGAGAGGCACAACCUUGAAAACUGGAAAAGAAUGACUCCCUCAGGGAGACCAGAAUCCUCGGGACUAGCAGAGGCGGCUUCUUCAGCUAAAAAUACAGAAUUCUUUCUAAAAAGUAGUUGAAGGACAGCUCCUUAAAUUUAGGACAGCAACAUUAAGUUGUUCAAGGAAACAAAAAUCAGAACAGGUUGGAGGAGGGAGAACCUGGACCGCCACAGCAAGAUACUCCGAGAUUGAUUAGCUGCAAACAGUGCGUGCUGUACUCGAGUGAAGUCGCCCCACACAGGUGGAGAAGGAAACUCAUUUUAAGAGGUGCUCCUGUGGCCCCCAGGGACCCCGAAGUGCAAUUCCCUGGAAGAGCUGCGCCCGUGACUGACACUCAGGGUCCUGCGGUGGUUUCUCAUGUUCUCCGGAUUCCUAGCUCAAGUGCCAUCCACUGCUCUGUCCUCCCAAGUCCAGAUCCCCUCGCCACUGCGCCCCAGGUUGUCAGCACCAUUCGCACUGGAUGCCUGAGCAGAGUGUUGCCUGGAGUGGCCCUGGGAACGGACCUCGCCAAGAAGAGACUUGUGAGUUUAACGCUCACCACACGCCAAAUAAUUAGACAACUCAAUUUCACUUGACUCUUGUAGAACUGACCCCAACUUACCACCAAGAUUUAUUUUUCACCACAAAGAGAAAAAUACAACCAUGGUUACCCACACUUUAAAAAUUCCUCUCUUCUUGCACAGAGCCUAUACAUCUCUUCAUUUAUUUGUACUUUCUUUGAAACUAUUGUAGCUUCAGAAGCAAAAGGACAAAAAAAAAAAAAGACAAAUCAAAACACAAUGUAGAGGAAUUUAUAAUACUGUCUUAUCCGUCACUGGAAAGGAUAGCUAGAAAUAAAUGAUAAAGAACACUGAUAUAAAAUGAAAAAUCUCUAUGAUAGUGUCAAGACUGCAUUUAAUAAUUAUGCCACAAAUGAAAAACCCAGCCAGGACAGGACUGUAAGUUGCUCUUGCACAGUGGCAUCCCUGGCUUAAUGGAUCAUAGCUUGCAUCCGGUUAUUACCCACAGCGUCCACCCACACCAAGGAGAAGAUGGAGGCACUUCCAGGGUAAGGAUUUCAAAGCACAAGUUCCUGACAGCCUAUGUCAAUGGGUUAAGUUAGUUUAGUUCAGAGAACAUUUAUUAUGCACGGGUGUUCUACUAGCUGCUAGGUACACAAACAUGCCAAAUGAGGGUCACUAUCAGAAAGAAUUCACCUUCCAUCAGUCUUACUUCUAAGUCCUCAAAUCUCG